UACAGAGGGUGCGAGCGUUAAUCGGAAUUACUGGGCGUAAAGCGUGCGUAGACGGCUAUCUAAGUCGGGUGUGAAAGCCCCGGGCUCAACCUGGGAAUUGCAUUCGAGACUGAAUAGCUAGGGUACGGUAGAGGGAAGUGGAAUUUCCGGUGUAGCUGGUGAAAUGCGUAGAUAUCGGAAGGAACAUCAGUGGCGAAAGCGACUUCCUGGACCCAGUACCGACGUUC
rnacentral:rRNA from 1 species